GAGACCUUCCCAGCCUUGUGGAACUGUGCACCAUCAGAGAAAGAAUGCAGAUUUUCGCCUAUCCACAAAGCUUGGCAAGCUCUUUACUGGUAUGUUAAAACCAUUUGGGGAAGUUGAGGACAGCAUUUGAGAUGACGGAGACACUGUUACAAAGCCAGAAUCUGGG